rfam:Oryza glaberrima chromosome 5 Oglab05_0141_29, whole genome shotgun sequence.
UAACGCGUGGGAAUCUGCCGAACAGUUCGGGCCAAAUCCUGAAGAAAGCUCAAAAGCGUUGUUUGAUGAGCCUGCGUAGUAUUAGGUAGUUGGUCGGGUAAAGGCUGACCAAGCCAAUGAUGCUUAGCUGGUCUUUUCGGAUGCCCAGC